GAGUGAAGAAAUUAUAAAACAAAAGUUGGUUACUCUUAUUAACCAUUUAAACGACCGUAAGUUAAUUUUCAACUUAAAAAUAUUCCCUGUUAAAAAAUCAAUUUUCCAGCUAUACGAUAUUCGUUCUAAACAAGCUAAACAAAAAUUAAAAAAAACGUUGAUAAAAUUAAAACAAAAGAAAAAUUGUGAUAUAUGUUCUGAAGAAAUAGACCAGCAUUUCCCUUGUUUAUUCUACACUAUUGACGUACAUAGAACGGAAUUCUUAAUUGAAAAAAUCGAGGUAUAUAAUGAAUGAAACAAAGCGAACUAACUUAACUGUUCUAGAAAUCUACAUAUAUACACGCAUGCAUAUGUUAAAAUUUGUUUGCUGUUGUAACAAUAUGUGUUCGACGUUAAAAAUUGUUUUAUUUUGAUAACACAACUUUUUUGAAAGACCACACUUUUUAAUUUUUUUUUUUUUUUUUUUUUUUUUUUUUUUUUCAGGUUUAUUGUACUAAAUGUUAUAAAAUAAAAAGAUUUACCACAUUUUCAAAAGAAUUAUAUAAAAGUAAAAGCUUAAACGACUUUUUAAAUUUUGCUUCAAUUUAUGACCAUUAUUACAGUGUUAAUAAAUUGCAGAUACAACAAAAAAACAUUUUAGAAAAUGACAUCAACAUUUUUUUAUCACUUUCUGUGUUAGCAAAAAAUUUAAUAUGGAAAAUGAACACCCCCCAUGAAACGUUUGACAAAUUUUUAGAAUUUUCAUUGAACGCCAAUAACCUUAACACCAAAAAAGAUGUGUCAACAAAAAAAAAAAAAAAAAAAAAAAAAGAAGAAGGAGAAGAAGAAGAAGAAAUAGAAGGAGAAGAAGAAGAAAUAGAAAUAGAAGAAGAAGGAAAAGCAGAAGAAGGAGAAAAAGCAGAAGGAGAAAAAGCAGAAGGAGAAAAAGCAGAAGGAGAAAAAAGAGAAGAAGUAGAAUUAGGAGAAGAAGUAAACGAAGACACAACACAACACAGUACAUCAUAGUACAGUAAUGUAAAAAUCAGCAAUCGAACAUAUGAUCAUAUAAAAUUGUAUAACAUGUUAUUUUUGCAUGAAAUCAUGUAUACGGUUAUUAGUUAUUAUAUGAAUAAUUUUUAUUGAUAAUUUUUUAUUUUUUUAUUUUUUUUUUUUGGUGAGGAAAACCGAUUUAAACUCUCUUCAAUUGUUAUUUUUGUAUCUAAAAGAAAUGUUUAUUUUUUAUGUUUGUCUUUUUUUAAAUUAAUAAAAAGUGUGACUAUAUACA
rnacentral:lncRNA from 1 species